UUUUCCCCAUUGAGUGUUCUCUUCAAAUGUACAGCUUGCAAGACUUCUUGAAUUUUCUUCUAAUUCAUGAAUUCUACUUUCUUCUCUUUGUCCACUGAACUCCCAUUUCAUAUCAAUCUUGGAUCCCUUGAUAAACUUUAUCCCACAUAGAGUCUCUCUUCUGUGAAAACAUCCACUUCCGACAUAUAGAGUGCCGCCAUAACCAUCCAAGCCAUGGAAUUCCACCUUCAAUCCCCACUCCAACAUGUCAACUAUAAAGUUCAAUAUAAUUUAACAUGAAACUCCAAUUAAAAUAAGUUCAAUUCUACAAUCAUGUAACUCCAUUAACAUCUACUCACCUCGCAGAUUACGAGUAAAGAAUUGCUAUACAAGUCAUUCUUAGUUAUAUUUUCAAAAUUCUGUGGGAACUGUACGAAGGCAACCUCUUGGCCUUCUUUUUCAUCCAUGAAGAAACAAAGCGCAUCAAGUAUGGCCAUGGAGUUGUUCGAAUACAUAUCGCAGUCUACAUUAAGAAUGACCUGCCCAUUGCUAAUGUUUGAAGACACCCUAAUCUGCAUUAAUAUUAAGGAUCACAGAACAAACAGUGAAUGAUUAUUACAUCAAUAAACACUCUAAAUUUGAUGGUUUUGGAAGCACCAUUUUUGGUCUCGAAGUGCGAUCCCUAACCAACAAGGCUCCCUGAUUUUGCGAAGGUCGGGUGAGAACGUCUAUCGUACACAGCCUCAACCUUUUUAGUCUUUCUUGUAAAAAAAAAAAUUCACCGAAUAGAUGUAAGUUUAUAAUUACCAGAGCAUUCAUAGCGCCAGCUUUGAAGUUAUGGUGAUGUUGAGGCCUUUUCUCCCGAGCUAAAUACACUAAAGUUGGCAAUACACACCCUUCAACAUCUCCUGAAUUAGGGUUCCUCCCAUCAAUUAGAAUCUGGAAAAAGCAUUUAAUUAGUACACAUCAAAUUUUUCUUUCCACUAUUUUACUAUGAUUUGAGAAAAAACAUGGAGUACUUGGACAUAAAGGAAAACUUAGCACAAAAUCGAGCGCAUUGGCUUUCUAGAACAUCCAUUUAAUAGAAUAAGGAUUUGUUGUUGUUGUAGUUGUUUACCAUGACUCUAUGACCAUGAGUUGCAUUUUUUUCUUUAAAAGAGAUCAUUUAAGUAUCAAAUUAGUUUCAUACGUACUUGAAGAAUGGUGUCAUGGUCACGUCUAGAUGAAUUUGGAUCCCACUGAGAAAAGCCUUUGCAUUUUGAUCGUACUUCUUCUGAAAUCCUGCCUACCUUCACUGCAUUUUGAAUUUGAUUCUCCAUUUCUUUGUAUGAUUUCUGUAGCAAAAAUUUCAGAAAACAGGUAUCAGUGAACUAAACAAUAUAAAUUGGGCUGGACUGCCCAAACUUAUUUUAUUACCGUUAAUAUUUACUUUGAAAAGUGGACAUCUUCAUUGCUGUUUUCAUAACUUAUCUAUAACAACGAUGUCCUAAGCCCAUUACUAUGCUCAGCUAAUUGUUUUGGUGAUAUAUUUUCUUAAAGAAAUUAUUAUUGAUACUUUAAAAAUAAAUUAUACACUUUAAACUUCUUAGGCGUGGACGAUUAGACUAUGGGAGUGUCAAUUAUAGUUCUCUUUUUUAAUAUACAGACAAUAUUAAAAAGGUAACAAGAAAUGGUAAAAAGAUACAAACCACUUUCUUUCAUAAAUAGAAAAAGAUUACAAACCACUUACAUUUGUUUACUAGGUGUUGUGUACUUUAUUUUAUUAUUUUCAAUUUAGGCCUACUUUCAACUUCAUUUAAUUUUAUCAAGAUGCACGCAUACAAAUAAUUUAGUAAAUAAAAUUAUAAAUAAAAAUUUUGUGUAAUUUGAACAUUAUUAUCUCAAUCAUACUCUUAGCAAAUGUUCCAAACACACAUAAAAAAAAAAUUCCUCUUGGUCAAUGACCAAAAUACUAACUCGAAAAUUGUUUAACGACUCAUAGCUGAUUUUUAUUUUUUUUAUUUUUUAUUUUUUAUAAAGCGAUAUGUUAUAAACAAUACUAAUUUACAAAAACAAUAAUUAAAUUUUGAUACAAAAGAAAGGUGCCUUGCACGUUUAGUAAUGCUAAGUAGAUCAAAUUUAUAAAUUAUAUGAUGUGUCAUUAAUAAAAAAAAUAAGCACGUUAUUAACACUUAAAUAAUAAUUCAAUUAUUAACAACGACAUCAUAUGAUUUACAAAAUAUAAUUGAAUAGUUAGUCUCUUUCGUUUGCCCCUUUGAAUUUGUUAUAUUCAAUUGAUAUAUCCUACAGAUACGGCUGUAAUAACUAAUAGUUAUAAGAACUGUUAGAUUAGGUGGUUAAAAACAUUCAUCAUUACACAUGAGGAAACCCUUAACUCAUGACUGCCGUUUGAGAAAAACAAAAAAUUAAACAUGAUUAGUUGCCCCAUUUAGUCUUUUAUCUUUACGUUAUCUUCUUAGCUUUUUGGGCUGUCACGAAUAUAAUAAGUUACACAAAAUUCUGAAUUUGAUCCAAUACAGAAAAAAAUUGUGUACCUUAGUAACCCAGAAAUCUUUAGCCUGAUCAUCAUCAAUUGCAUCAGCAGAUACUGUGACAAAAUAAGCAGCAGGUGACCUUGGCUCCACUUUGUACCUCUUGCAGUAUGGUAUCCAAUACUUUGCAAACUCAGCAGCCUCCAAGAGAGCAUAGUACGUAAGUUCCGACCCGCCAUCAUCGGACAGAUAGACGCUCAGCUUCUCCGGCGGGUAAUCAUAAGCCAUCACUGACAAAACCGUGUUAAUCACCAUCAUCGGCGGCUCAAUGGUUGGGUCUGCCGUGCACACAAAUACGUCCACUCCCGGCAAUUCAUUCUCGUAUCUGAGUUCAAAUUUAAUGAACGAUACUUGUUGGAUAACAAAUAUAAAGAAAUGAGUAUGAAGUUAGAAACACAUGUAGGAAAGUACCUUUGAGAUAGCCUAUCUUUGAAGGUGUACCUAUACACACGGUUCCACCGGGAGGCCUGAGUGAGGAGCCAGUAAAAACCAAACCAUAUCUCAGCACCCAAAAGUCCAAUCCAACCAAACCUUCCAUCUUCUCCUGCUUUUGGUAUGUGACUCAAUCUAUAAACCCAAAUCAAACAUAUUCCUGCAAAUAUAGAUGCUGCAAAAACUUUAUACAGGACUGUUCCCUUGGCUCUCCUCGUCUCGAACAACGGCAAAUACCCUUCAUUUCCCAUCUAGUUCAGACCUCUCUCAACUCAGCUCAGCUCUCUCUGUCUCUCUAUCUUAAAAUAACAGAGAACGACAAAUAUGGUUAUAGUUAUUUGUCAGCCACAGCCUAACAUUGUUGACAAUUAUUUACUCCAUUGAUGUGAGCCACCUAUGGGAGAAAGGAUAUUAUAUUAGCACAAGCACCUAUUGGAAUUAUUCAAAUUUUUAAUGUUAUUGUAUUAGAUGCACUGAACAUUGUACUAUCUAGAGGUUGAUUUGAGAACAAAGUGUCCUACAUCAGUGAGAGAUAGACCAAUGCAAGACUUAUAAGAUAUUGGACUACUUUCCAUAUUACCAAUUGAUUUACGAGGAAAUCCCAAAUUCUUUAUGUUAUCAAAGGAGGUUGUCUCUGGUUUAAAAGCCCAGGGGCAACACGUGCUCACACAUUCUCCUAAUUUGUUGUCCAAGUGUAAGCUUGAAAAUUGAUCACACGUGAGAGGGUAUGUUGUGAGUUGAUAUGCUUGUGCAAUAUAAGAGAUGGUCAGAAGGUAACCUCCAGAUUUUGCAUUCAAAGUAUAGUCCUGCAUGGUAUGCCUAUGGAAAGAUUAGUUUAGGCCAUCAACUUGGAUAUCUUCGAUACUCCUUUUGGGCUGCAAAUUGCUGGGCAACACUAGUUUACUCAAUUCUUCCUUCACUUUACCUCCUUAGAGGCACAUCCUUAUUUCCACAGGUAUGGUUCUAAGUCCUUAUUCUCAUUAAUUUCCCACAAAAUUGCACGAUGCAUGUUUCUUAUAUACAUUUGCAAUUGUACCUUAUUUAACUACCAAAACUAAUUGAUGGGUUAGUAAUCAUGUUGGUCCUUCAAUGAAUUUGUGACUCAAAUUGGCAAUGUCGGUAUAUAUCUAUACCUAUUUGUUUCAAAUAAAAAACCAUAUGCAGUUCAACUAUGAUUUUGGGGGCCUCAUUUAAGUUUUGCUUAUGACCCCCAAAAUCUAAGGAUCAACCUUACUUCUCAAUGUUUCAAAAGAAUAUCUGUUCAGUUUUUAGAUAUGAAGCUCAUGGCUGACACCAUAUGUACAUGUAUGCUUGCAUGCAUUAGCUUGUUAGAUUCGGAUCAAACAACAACAACAACAACAAAGCCUUUUCCCACUAAGUGGGGUCGGCUAUAUGAAUCCUAGAACGCCAUUGCGCUCGGUUUUGUGUCAUGUCCUCCCUUAGAUCCAAGUACUCUAAGUCUUUUCUUAGGGUCUCUUCCAAAGUUUUCCUAGGUCUUCCUCUACCCCUUCGGCUCUGAACCUCUGUCCCGUGGUCACAUCUUCGAACCGGAGCGUCAGUAGGCCUUCUUUGCACAUGUCCAAACCACCGUAACCGAUUUUCUCUCAUCUUUCCUUCAAUUUCGGCUACUCCUACUUUACCUCGGAUAUCCUCAUUCCUAAUCUUAUCCUUUCUCGUGUGCCCACACAUCCAACGAAGCAUCCUCAUCUCCACUACACCUACGUGUUGAUGCUUCACCGCCCAACAUUCUAUGCCAUACAGCAUUGCCGGCCUUAUUGCCGUCCUAUAAAAUUUUCCCUUGAGCUUCAGUGAACAAACAGUUACUUUCUAAAUAGGACUAAGUGAACAAAAAGUUACUUUCUAAAUAUUUAUUUAGUAUAUAUUUUAUGUCUAAUGGGUUUUGUUUUGUGAAUUUAGAUCUCAAGAUCUCAAGCAUGGUUCAUACCAUUUGUGUAUGUGAUCAUUGGAAAGUACACUUGGAGCUUUGUGGAGUUUUUGUGGUGUGGUGGCACAACUUUAGGUUGGUGGAACGAGCAGCGCAUAUGAGCUUCUAUCUCUUUGCCUUCUACACUACUUUGGAUAUAAUGAUUCAGCAUUUGUAAUAACCGCCAAGGUGGCUGAUGAAGAUGUGUCACAGCGGCACAAGAAAGAGAUAAUGGAAUUCGGGGACUCCUCCAAUGCUUACCCCAUUGCCAACACUUGCAUUGCUCAAUUUGUUACUGCUUUGCUGGGUUUCUUAAGGAAGCAAUCAAUGGGAAGGGCAUAGCACAAGUUUAUGAUUCAUUGACUUUGCAAAUUCUGAUGUACGGGGCUCUGAUUCUCAUCAACCUACCCUUGUACCAAGCACUUUACCUAAGGAAAGACAAGGGAAAGAUUCCAGCCACCGUCGCUUUUAAGUCGAUGUCAUUUGCUGUGGUUGCUUGUACUUGUUUCAAAUUUUCGUAUUAAAGCAUGGAAAACUCUUUAGAUUCAACUCUUUCACACAAGGUAUUUUUGUGAACUAAAUUUUGUUUAGGAUCAAAAUAAUGUUGUCUCUCUGUUUUAAAUUAGUUUAUUGUAUCAUCUUAAUAUAAAUUCUAUUGUCGAAAGCUUAUCAGAUCAGUGCUUGAUCUUCUUCCCAGUAACAUGAAAAACCCUAUCAAAGUUUUCCUCCUGCACAACGCACAAUCUUUGUAUUGAUCAGAAUUAGGCAACACAAUCUGCAAAACCUCUAGCUCAUGCCCCUCUGACAUAUCCUCGCCUAGUUAAUGAUGCGUAUAAACUCCAUUUCAGAUAGUCCUAAUUGCCUCAGUCUUUGCAAUCCUCUGAAUUUCGGAUCAAACCAUGUUUUUUGUAAGUUCAUCAUUCUAGUGUAGUCCGUCUCAUGGCUUCAAUAAUUCUGAAAGCAUUCUUGGCUUCAAAGGCACAAGAAAAUGCUAGACUAGUAUAACCACCUGAAAGAGUAGCAAGUAAACGGCAUACUUAAUGAUUUGAUAGUAGCUUAAUAUUUCUAAUGAGUUUAAGAUAGAUGAUUAACUUGGUAUUCCCGGGAUUACACGCUGCGUAGUCUUUUAUAUGAACAUAUUGUAAUACUAUGGUACCAACUCAUAAUUUUCAGAAUAGCAUAGGGAAAUGGCAUGGAGCAAGCCAUGGAGUAAGCAAAAUGAUGAACAAUCACAUUUCUUUGGUUGAAAUAGGAAUUAAAUCACAUAAUAUCUCAUUAAGGUAGAGUUUAGGAAGUCAUCUUAAGCCCUGAAAUCCUCAUGGUAGGCCCUCAAUCGGGGGUAAUAACAAUUUCGAAUGGUUCUAAUAGCACAUUUCUUCUAAUAUAAAUAUUGGAAACAGAUACAAGCAGAUACUGCAAAUGCCAUUGAUUUAAAAGCUACAGAGCUUGGCAGCUUUCCCUUGUCCUUCCUUAGGUAAAGAGCCUGGUAUAAUGGUAGGUUGAGAAGAACUAAAACCCCACACAGAAGAAUUUGCAAAGGCAUUUUCUCAUAAGCUUCUGCUAUUCCUUCUCCAGAGAUUGCUUUGUUUAAAAACCCAAGGAAGCAGUACAAAUUGAGAAUUGCUAGUGUUGCAAGUAUGGUAAACAUUGGCGACGAAUCUCCAAAUUCCAUAACCUCUUUCUUGUAUCGUUCUGACACAUCUUCGUCAUCCACCUUAGAUGUUAAUAUGAAUGCUGUAUCAGAAUAUCCAAGCGAGUUUAAAAUGGUGUCAAUGAAGGCAAAUAGGUAGGAACUUGUUCUCUUGUAAAGCCACAUUCGUGAUCGUUCCACCAACCUAAGAUUGUGCCACCACACCCCAAAAACUCAACAAAACUCCAAGUGUACUUCGAAAUUAUCACGUAUGCAAAUGGUAUGAACCAAGGGCUCGAGACCUAAGUCCAGAAAGCAAAACCCUUACUAUAAACAUUGAGUUAGUUGCAAAAGAAAAUAUGUAUAUUUUGACACAAAAACAGUACCUGUGGAAAUAAGGAAAUGCCUUUGAGGAGGUAAAGGGAAGGGACAAUCGAAUAAAAUAACGUUGCCAAGGAAUUCGAACACCAGAAGGAGAAGCAACAAUAUCCAAGUUGAAGACCAAAGCUAAUUUUUCCAUGUGCAUACCAUGCAGGGCUGUAUUUAGUAAACAAAAUCUGGAAAUCGCCUUCUGUCCAUCUCUUAUGCUGCACAAGCGUCUGAGUUAGCGUACUUGGGGCUACUCCUAAGAAAGCUUUCCUUGUGGGAUUGCAAUACACUGAUUUCCAACCAUGGCAUUGGAUUGAUAGCCCUGUGAUCACAUCUUCUACCGGACAUCCAUAUUUCAAUCCCAUCUGCAAAUUAUAGACAUUCGUCAAGUUCAAAUUAGUGUGCAGUUGUGUGUGUGUGUGUGUGUGUGUGUUUGUGUGUGUGUGUGUGAGAGAGAGAGAGAGAGAGAGACCUCUUUUCCCCAUUGAGUGUUCUCUUCAAAUGUACAGCUUGCAAGACUUCUUGAAUUUUCUUCUAAUUCAUGAAUUCUACUUUCUUCUCUUUGUCCGCUGAUCUCCCUUUUCAUAUCAAACUUGGAUCCCUUGAUAAACUUUCUCCCACAAAGAGUCUCUCUUCUGUGAAAGCAUCCAGUUCCGACAUACAGAGUGCCGCCAUAACCAUCCAUGCCAUGGAAUUCCAC
rnacentral:lncRNA from 1 species